CGCCUGGCCUCAAAUAUGCAAAGUUUUACAUUUAAUUUAUUUUAGAAAUUAUAGAGAGGGGGACCAUCUACUCACAUCUUAUAGACCAAGAAAACUGUGAGAUCAUUCCUGUUGACAGCAGGGCCAUCAUCUGCUUUGGUGAAUAAUGUGUUCCCAGCCACCUAAAAGCCGAACAAAAUAUGCAAAGUUUUACAUUUAAUUUAUUUUAGAAAUUAUAGAGAGGGGGACCAUCUACUCACAUCUUAUAGACCAAGAAAACUGUGAGAUCAUUCCUGUUGACAGCAGGGCCAUCAUCUGCUUUGGUGAAUAAUGUGUUCCCAGCCAC
rnacentral:lncRNA from 1 species